AUCGGAAUGUAAUUUUAUGUUGUAACAUUAACUCAUAGUGUUAUGAAUAAAGUGGAAAGAGAAUUCAUUUUUUUUUAGUUACACUUAAAUCAUAAAAACAUUGAUUUUAUAUAUUUGCAUUAUGGAUUUGAAAUUACCAUGCGGUGGCCCCUAGUGAAUGUGCGCCGUAUAUACCACUCCAAAAAGUUGCACUAGCCUAGUAUAUAAUCUCAGGUAUGAUUAUUAAUCAUCAUUAUGAGAAAACAGCAGACUCAGGCUUUUAUUAUUCUUAUAGGCUAAAUAUAACACCGAGGUUAAAGCGGAGAAAACAAAUGUUGAAUACGGACGCUUGAAUACACGCAGACCUCUUGCAUUUCUGUUGCGUAGCUGGAGGGAUUUACGGGGACUUAAUUCCUUAAAACUGUCCUCUCGUCCACAUGACGCUCAAACUGCAAGUGCUCAAGCUGAUAUACCCAAAUGUAUCAAGAGAUGAGUGCAUCGCAUUGCCAUGGGGCUAGAUUAAGGCCUUUUAUAAGACAUGUAGAAUACACGUGAAACCAGUGUGGAGUGGCGCAACGAGGAGGUGAGUUAGAUAGCUACCUUUAAAAAUGUUUAAAACAACACGUUGCCAAUAUCCACUUCGAGAAAUGUCUAUCGGGAUUCUUCUGUGUGGGAGGAAAGCCGACAGUAUCAUAACAGCUUUAAGUCCGUAGCCUACAUUUAAAGACAUCCUGAGAGAGAACCUGACAAGACUCGAGACGCACGGACAAAUGAACAACGAUGAAGAAGAAAAAACCUUUUACACUUCAAGACAAGAUGGAAAGCUUCGGUUGUGCACCUGCUAUUGUGGAAUGAGAUGAUGACAGCCACCAUUAUCCUGGUCCAAAUGUUUUGCAAGCUCUGGUGGGCAAAAGCAAAGUGGACAUUAUCUGAUGUUAUCUUAUGUGAAUGUUUGGAGGAGCACAGUAGGAGUGGAUCAGUUUCUUCACAGAGCCAAGCGGCAAACAAAUGGAUUCAAUUAAAACCGAUUCUUCCCUUCAAGUCAUCAAUAUGAGGCAAAUGCCAGUCCCUCUCAACUGUUUAUAUCUCUUUUGGGAAAGUGGAGGCUGUCUGUUGGGACUCCUCUCAUAAUUCUGUCAGUUGGAUGUUUCCAUUACGUUCUCUUCACGUUCCUGCCAUGUUCUUGUCCCGGCUCCAGCCUGUUGUCAGCUACCCUUCCAGCCACAGGCUGGCAGCUGUUUUUUUUUUUCUUUUUUCAAUUGUGUAUCUCUAAGGGCUUGUCUGUCAACUGGAACCCUCCCCUCCAAUUAGGAGAGUAAACACAAGACCCGUCUCUGUGUGUGUGCUUGUGUACGUGCUUAUAUAAAGUUCACAAACUGUCACCUAAAACUCCCCUCUAGCGAUAAAACAAUGCCUAGAUUCUGAUAGCCCUCUCCAUCGCCAAACUCCUACACUUUUAAUUGUAUAGACUGUCUUUUAACUCUAAAUUGGAUUUUAGUGGCAUAAAUAUAUAGUAAAGAUACUACUUAAAAACAACAAAGAAUAAAGAAAAUUCUAUAAAUAAAAAAGUCGUUAGUCUUAUCUCCUGUAGAUUUAAAAGGAAACAUUUUUAUAUUUAAUUUUAUUUGACUACACUGAUAUAUUGUACAGUUUCUAGACAUUUAUAUUGACUGAUUUUUCUGAGCAAGUAUUUGCCGCUUGUUUGUGUUACAUUGAACUGGACGUAUUUCACUAAUAAAAGUGAAGAAAGUGUUUCUUUUCGACAUUAACAUGACAGGUCACCACUCGCCGCUCUCCUGGUUACCAUGGGGUACCAAUACUGCAGAAAAGAAUGUAGAGUCUGCCAGAGUUGCAGACUGGGACAGAACGGGAUAUGCGUGUGUAUGUGUGUGUGCGCUUGACUGUGUGUGUGCUGGGGGUGGGAACACUCUCAGAAACCCCAGUGGUUACCGCCUUGCGGCUGGCAAUAGGGAUGCAGGAAUUUCACUAGACCUACUGCCCGGAAAAUGCCAGGUGGGAGACGAGGAGCGGACGGAGGGUGUGGACGAGUCACAUUAAUUGUUGGCAGGGGAGGUGGUGGAUAGGUAGCUCAGGAACUGUCAGAAGCUCAGUAGAAAAAUAGAGCAGUCAAAUCAAUUGCAGCCUGAUGUAUUUACUGUCGCUUUAACGUCAUUUGCAGAAUGAGCAUUUCUUGUGAAAGCUAGAAUACAAACUAAUCUUUUUUUUUUGGUGAAUCAUAUAUAUAUAGUUAUUUGUUUAGAGUUAAAGCUGAAUAACUGUUCUAAAUGGUAAAUAAAAUGCUUCUAAAAUA